UUGAGAAGGAAAUAGCAUGUGGGUAAAAUACACAUUUCUUCUCACUGUCGAAAAGAAAAGAAAGAAAAAGAAAAGGUGGACUCCAUCCUCUGUUCCUCAAUUUCUUAUUCCAGCACCUUCCUCCCACUUUGAUUUCACUCUCCAUUUUCAUUCCAUAUUUCCUCCAUCAUUUAUUCACUCUUCACUCAAGCUCUUACUCACAGUAUUUGAAACUGUGAAAGUGGGUAUUUGAGACUCUUCUCAUCUCUUGGGUAGUGCUAUUUAGAACUCAUUGAGAUUCACAAGGUGGCGUCUCUCUUGUUCCAGCGGAAGGCACGGAAGGGAUUUGAGCUUGCUCUUCAUCGUUAUUCACAAGCAGUAGUGUAGCGGAUUUCUGGGAUUGCUGAGUUACCCAGGAGUCGUCACUUGUUUUGGUAUGCCUCCAUUGUGCGGUGGCUAGUAUGUUCUUUUUGUCGACUCCAGUAUGAUGCAGCCAUAGGGAUAGAGAGUCGUUUGCUUACUUUGAGUUGUAAUUAUUAAACUCACUACGUUAGCACUUUGUUGGGCUCGUACUCUUGAAACCCUAUGAUGGGGGUUAUUUUGUUAUGAUUUUAUAUCUGGUUAUUGGAUAUCUAGAUGUAUGUUAUGACAGGUAUUUAUCAUUUUGAUGAUGAUGAUGUUGGAAAUACAAAGGAAA